GUCGAACGCUGGCGGCGUGCCUAAUACAUGCAAGUCGAACGCAGUGGGGACGGGUGAGUAACAUGUGGGUAACCUCCCAUCAGAGGGGAUAACACUUGGAAACAGGCGUUAAUCCGAUACUGAUGGAUGGACCCGCGGUGCAUUAGCUAGUUGGUGAGGUAACGGCUCACCAAGGCCACGUUGCAUAGCCGACAUGAGGGGAUGAUCGGCCACACUGGGACGGAGACACGGCCCAGACUCCUACGGGAGGCAGCAGUAGGGAAUAUUCAGCAAUGGACGAAAGUCUGACCGAGCAACGCCGCGUGAGUGAAGAAGGUUUUCGGAUCGUAAAACUCUGUUGUUAGAGAAGCGGUAUCUAACCAGAAAGCAACGGCUAACUACGUGCCAGCAGCCGCGGUAAUUC
rnacentral:rRNA from 1 species